CCGAAGAGGAAUAGAGGGCGGGUGGGUUCUUCGUUUCUCUGUGCUUCAGCCUGUCCGGGGGCUCCGCUCUUAUGCAGGUGGGCUCUCGGCUCGCUGCUCGGCCCGCAGGAGCGGGUAGCGCUGAGGCGGCGGGAAGGCGGCCCGCCCAGUCAGUCAGUGUCAGUCAGUCACCCACCGUGCCGGUCAGCUGCUCUGCUUCACAGUGAAGGACUGCAGGGAGUUUUGCAGUCAAACCCUUUCUGAAAGAGUGAGGAGCAUGUUUCCCAUCGAGGCGGGUGGUGUGGUGCACUGCAAGGCCUGCCUUGGGAGAGAGACACCAUUGUCAGGAUGUGAACUCAAAUGAUGGAGAGCCAGGAGCAGUUAAAGAGAGGAAUUAGUUCCAAUAUAAAAGGAAAUGCUAGUGAUGUGUACAUGGCAACCAGCAGGUCAGGAGAGCUGCUAUACAGAGGAAUGGGAGCAGCUGAAAAUAGCUGAAAACAAGAAAAGCACAGAAAAGUUUGCUUUUGUUGGGGAUGCAAGAAGCUGCCUGAGAUUCUCAGCCUCCUCUGCAGUCUCGUGGUUACUCUGACGACUUCACUCUUCUGCUGUGGCUCAGCAUGACAACCUGUACCUGGUAAAUAAAGUGUCUGUGUGUAGAAUAACAGAAGCAGCACAGAUGGUAAGGAGAAGGUUUUGAGAAUGCUUUAACAAUACAGAACAGGUCAUUUCACUAGCAACUCAGUUUUACAGCAGUUAAUUGUAUUCUAGAAGGAUAGAUUAAUAUUCAUAUGCUCAAUAGUUGUAACUCCUUUGAUUCCUCUCUGAUUAACACAAGUUAAAGUGUAUUUUGGGGAUAACAACUGAGCCUGUA